rnacentral:snRNA from 1 species
GGAAGUCCGGAAUGUGAGAGCUGCAGCAUCUGUAAUCCCACUGACCACCAGGGCUGAUUCAGCUGAUCUGGCUGGCUAGGUGGGUAUCUCUUUCCUCCCUCACCACUCCAUGUGUGUCCCUCCAGAAGCUGCUGGGAUAGAGGAGGACCAGUCUUCAGUCAUGUGAGUAUAUGAACGACUGCACUCUCCAACGAGAACCUCCAAACAAGCUCAAGACAUAUGUCCGGGUAAGAGAAAGGAGUUCAAGAAUUUGGGAUCU